UAUAGAACAUAUGUUUAUAAGUAUAUAAAGAAAUUAUUUUGUGCAAAUAGCUAUGUUUUAGUGGGAGCAGUAAUGAUUUAUUUAAUAAAUAUUAACCCAAAGAGAAAUUUGAUAAAAAACGAAGCGAAUUGAAAUAUCUUAAUAGCUUUAGGAAAAGAAAUCAAAAGAGAUUCUAUUAUUAGUGUGAACGAAAGUAGAUAAGCCUAAAAAAAAGUAAAACAGAUUUAAAUCUUCUUGAACUUUAAGGGGAACCUUCCUCUAAGGCUAAAUAAUAAACAUAAGCGAUAGUGUAAUAGUACCGUGAGGGAAAUUUGUAAAAAGUGGUUUUAUAAGCAGUUCGAGCUAAAAAAAAGUAAGAACGUACCUUUUGCAUAAUGGGUCACCAAGUUAACUUUGGAUGCAAGUUAGCGCGUAGUUAAAACAAUCAUAAGUAAUGAUUAGUGUCUAAAGUUAGACCCGAAGCCUGGUGAUUUUACUACAAUCAGGAUUAUAAAAGUCCGAACGGUAUAUCGUUGCAAAGAUAUCCGAAGAAUUGUGGUAGGUAUAGUGAAAGACAACACUGACCAGGAAAGCUGGUUUUCUGCGAAACCUAUAAAAGUAGGCAAUCUUAGUAACAUCUUAGUAGGUACAGAACUUAAUCUCAGACAAAUAUAUAUAUUUGUAUAUAUCGGGGGAUCGUGAAGAUUUUAUCGGUGAGUAUGUAGACUCGGAAUGACAAAGAUGAAUCUAAGAUAAUCAGACAUAGAGUGAUAAGGUUGUAUGUCAAAAGGGAAACAGCCCAGAACAAGAGUUAAGGUUCCAAAAUUUAUAGUUGAGUGAAAUUAAGAAAGUUUCUAUUUAAGCCGACAAGGAGAUGGGCUUAGAAGCAGCCAUAAUUUAAUGAUCUCGUAAAAGAGCACUUGUUAAAUCUUUAGAAGCAUCGAAAAUUCAACGGAUCUAAACUAUAUACCGACACCUUGUCCAUUUAUAUUAUUAUAUCAUUAUAAUUGUAUAUUAAGGGGUAGCAGAACAUUGAAUUAACAAUAGAAAUUUCUUUUUUAAAGAAAUAUGAAGGUAAUUCAAGAGAUAAUGGUGACAUUAGUAACAAUAAGAAGACAAGAAUACUUAAUAAAAAAAAGUAAAAGUCUCCGCCUAAAGCUUAUGGUCCGUAAAAAGUAACGGCCUCUAAAUUGAAAAUCUAAUGGUUUUAAUGAUGAGUAAAUCUUUUUUUACUAAAGGACGACGUUUUAAAGUGAAAAACGUACUGGAAAAAUAGUAAUAUAUCUAAAAAGAUGAAAAACAACCGUACCUGGAUUAACCGCAACAGGUAAGCUAGUAGAGAAUACGAAGGCGUAAAUGGGAUAACAAUCUUAAAGGAACUCGGCAAAUUUACUACGUAACUUCGGAAUAAGGAGGUCUCAUUAGUCUUGAUUAAUAUCAGGUAAAAAGGAAGAAGCAUGAAAUAAUGUUGUACGACUGUUUAAUUAAAACACAGCACUUUGCGUCAAAGAUUUAAAUCAAAGUAUAAAGUGUGAUGUCUGCCCGGUGCCGGCUGGUUAACAGAUAUAAUUAAAUUUUUUUAGGGAAUUUAGUGUAGACGGAACCCCCGGUUAAUGGCGGCCUUAACGUGAGGGUCCUAAGGUAGCGAAAUGCCUUGGCCGUUAAAUGCGGUCUUGCAUGAAUGAUGUAACGAUACAACAGCUGUCUCUAAGAUUGACCCAGUGAACUUGAAUUAGCAGUGCAGAUGCUGCUUACCUCUAGCUGGACGAGAAGACCCUAUGCAGCUUUACUGUUACUAAUUAUAGGGUAUAGAAGGCAAAUUUUAGAUAUAAGGUAUAUCGAUCGAUGAUUAUGAAAAUCCUUUAUUUUUCUUUUAUAUUUUUGAAUGAAAUCAUUCUGGAAUAUAUGCUUAACAGCUAUAUUAGUGAUUUAACCUAGUUCGAAUAAUGGCCUUGGGUGAGGAACUAUUGUUAGGAGACAGUUUAUGCGGGGCACAGACCCCAUAAAGAGUAAAUGGGAGUGUCUAAUAUUUAUAAUGUAAUAUCGUAUUUAUAUGAUAUUUUUUUUUGUUUGUUGUUUUAUGUAGGUAAACUACGUAUUAUCUUAUAUAAUUUUUUGUAUAUAUGCACGACCAUAUAUAUAUUUAAUAAAGUUUAUAUAGCAAUUUUUUGAUAGGUAAGAUUUUCUCUAAAGAGAAAUUAGAUGUACUGAAGAUAUUAUGAUAUUAAUCUAAUAUCUUCUUAGUUAUAAUUUAUUAUAAUAUUGAUUAGUACUUAGAAAGCUCAACGGCUUAAAUCUUGCCUUACUGUUUGAUUAACAACAAAUCUUUCAGUUGCGUAAGCAGGGCGUAGGAUCACAAGAUGCAUAAAGGAAAGAUCUUGUAUUAUAGGAAAAGCUACGCUAGGGAUGUUUGUCCUCCAAUAAUGCAAAUUAUUGGUUUAUAAUAACCAUUUUGUGAAAAAUGGAAAUAAUAAUGAUAACACAUAGAACAGGCUAAUUUGCGCAAGAGUGUACAAAAUGAGUGCGCGGUUUGGCACCGAUGUCGGCUUAACUUAUCCUCAUGGAUGCAAGAACUAUGUAGGGUACGACUGUUCGUCGAUUAAAAAGUUACAUGAGCUGGGUUAAAUACGUCGUGAGACAGUAUGGUUUCCAUCCUCUAGAGGGAAUUAGAAUAUAAUAAGGAUUAACCUUUGUACGAAAGGAACUGGUAGUAUAUAAUCUUAAAAAUUAUAUAACAUUUAUUAACCUAUGGUUUACCUGUUGUUUAUAUGCCCAAUAUUAAUUUAUAUAUAAUAUAUUAUUAUAUUAUAUGGGAUUAUACUAAAAUCACUUAAGUAUCUUUAUAGUAUAGGCACGGCAGGAAAGCUAAGUUAGUUAAAGAUAAGAACUGAAAGCAUAUAGGUUCGAAGCUUACCUUAGGAUAUUUCUUAAAUAUGCGUAAUAUAAUAUUACGAAUAUUAUUAUAGGCUUUAUUUGAAAGAAUUAGAAAUUUUUAAGAAUAAAGUACUAAUUUUAUAAAUUACUAAACAUUAAUAUAUCUUACAUUUUUAAUA
rnacentral:rRNA from 2 species